UGGGGAAUUUUGGACAAUGGGCGAAAGCCUGAUCCAGCAAUGCCGCGUGUGUGAAGAAGGCCUUCGGGUUGUAAAGCACUUUUGUCCGGAAAGAAAUCCUUGGCUCUAAUACAGUCGGGGGAUGACGGUACCGGAAGAAUAAGCACCGGCUAACUACGUGCCAGCAGCCGCGGUAAUACGUAGGGUGCAAGCGUUAAUCGGAAUUACUGGGCGUAAAGCGUGCGCAGGCGGUUUGCUAAGACCGAUGUGAAAUCCCCGGGCUCAACCUGGGAACUGCAUUGGUGACUGGCAGGCUAGAGUAUGGCAGAGGGGGGUUAGAAUUCCACGUGUAGCAGUGAAAUGCGUAGAGAUGUGGAGGAAUACCGAUGGCGAAGGCAGCCCCCUGGGCCAAUACUGACGCUCAUGCACGAAAGCGUGGGGAGCAAAACAGGAUUAGAUACCCUGGUAGUCCCACGCCCUAAACGAUGUCAACUAGUUGUUGGGGAUUCAUUUCCUUAGUAACGUAGCUAACGCGUGAAGUUGACCGCCUGGGGAGUACGGUCGCAAGAUUAAAACUCAAAUGAAUUGACGGGGUCAUAGCUGUUU
rnacentral:rRNA from 1 species